rnacentral:rRNA from 2 species
GACAAACGCUGGCGGAAUGUAUUAGGCAUGCAAGUCGUACGAACCUUCGGGUUAGUGGCGAACGGGUGAGUAACACGUGGGUAACCUGCCUCGUAGUGGGGAAUAACUCGCCGAAAGGCGAGCUAAUACCGCAUAACACCCCCGGUGAGAAUCCGGGUGGUAAAAGCUCCGGCGCUAUGAGAGGGGCCCGCGGCCGAUUAGCUAGUUGGUGGGGUAACGGCCUACCAAGGCGACGAUCGGUAGCUGGUCUGAGAGGAUGGUCAGCCACACGGGGACUGAGAUACGGCCCCGACUCCUACGGGAGGCAGCAGCUAAGAAUCUUGCGCAAUGGGCGAAAGCCUGACGCAGCAAUUCCGCGUGGGGGACGAAGGCCCUCGGGUCGUAAACCCCUUUUGUGAGGGAAGAAGUUCUGACGGUACCUCACGAAUAAGACACGGCUAACUACGUG